rnacentral:lncRNA from 1 species
GUCAAGAGGAGGAAUGCCAGGGUGAGGGAAGCAGGCAGGGACCUGCAAAUCUCUGUCAGACUGAUCCCUUGAGUGACUGCAUGAUAACUUGCAGUCUGUACUACUGUACUAUUGAAUGGUAGAGCAUAUUUUGGGAGAGGUGAAAAGGGGGGUUAGUAUAGUCUCUAUGCAGUAUGGUUUUUAAAUUCCAGCUAGCAUCCCAUAGUUAGAAAUGUACAUCAGAAAUAAUAUACUCUAAUUCUUUUAAAGUUAUGUUUAUUAUUUUAAUAUUACUAUUUUUUGAAAAUUAUACACUUAGUUUUGAUAAAGUGUGUCUUAUGAAGCAAGUAAAACUGUACACAGGAAGCAUGGAAGUUAUAUAAUCUGUAAAUCAAUCUUUUCAUUCUAGGUCACAUGUAUAUCAUGCAAUUACAAAUCCAAUACCAUUGAGCCCUUUUGGGACCUAUCCCUGGAAUUCCCUGAACGCUAUCACUGCAUAGAAAAGGGGUUUGUCCCUUUGAAUCAAACAGAGUGCUUGCUCACUGAGAUGCUGGCCAAAUUCACAGAGACAGAGGCCCUGGAAGGGAGAAUCUACGCUUGUGACCAGUGUAACAGCAAACGACGAAAAUCCAAUCCCAAACCCCUUGUUCUGAGUGAAGCUAGAAAGCAGUUAAUGAUCUACAGACUACCUCAGGUUCUCCGGCUGCACCUUAAAAGAUUCAGGUGAGCUUGCUGUGGGAGUCCCAGCUGGGUGAGAGCUGUGGGAAUAGCUGCUCCAAAGGCUUUGGUGAGGGCAAAUGUCUUCUAUGGUGUUGGGAGGGGAAGCCUGUUCACUUGAGACCUCGUGUUUUCCAUGGAGAUUAAACUGUUCACAUCCACUAAGGCAAAUUGAUGUGGGAGCCCAGCAGGACUGGGCUUUUGCUCUCAUGCUCCUGUGUAAUUAAUUAUCCAGCCUGCACUGGGUGUCUGUGCUUAAAGAUUUUCUAGCCUGGCUUGGACUUAUGUAGAUUCAUCUUCAGGAUGAAGUAUAAAAUAAUCUGCAAAAGAAGCACAGGCAGGAAACUACAAAAAGACUGUUGCUUGAAUUGCUUGUUUAGGGAUCUCUAGGUUUAGAGUACUUCAUGGAACAUUAACAGCAAAUAAAUGGGCCAGGCGCAGUGGCUCAUGACUGUAACCCUAGAACUUUGGGAGGCCAAGGUAGGCAGAUUGCUUGAGCUCAGGAGUUUGAGACCAGCCUCGGCAACAUGGUUAAAACCCUGUCUCUACAAAAAAUGCAAAAAUUAGCCAGGCAUGGUGGUGUGCACCUAUAGUCCCACCUACUCGGGAGGCUGAGGUGGGGCGAUCACCUGAGCUCGGGAAGGUUGAAGCUGCAGUGAGCCUUUAUCAAUCACACCACUGCACUGCAGCCUGGACAACAGAGUGAGACCCUGUCUGAAAAUAAAUAAAUAAAUAAGUGUGAACAUUGAUUACCACCAUUUUAUUGAUGGGAAAACCAAAACCAGAAGGUUAAAUUUUCUCAGUUUCCUGUUUUAUUAAUACCUACCUCUACCUACGAUUAUAUAUGCCAGUUUUUACUAGUAACAAGCUUAUAUCCAUGUUCUAGGUGGUCUGGCCGUAAUCAUCGAGAGAAGAUUGGGGUCCAUGUCGUCUUUGACCAGGUAUUAACCAUGGAACCUUACUGCUGCAGGGACAUGCUCUCCUCUCUUGACAAAGAGACCUUUGCCUAUGAUCUCUCCGCAGUGGUCAUGCAUCACGGGAAAGGGUUUGGCUCAGGACACUACACAGCCUAUUGCUACAACACAGAGGGAGGUGCGUGCGCUUUACUCUGUGGGGUGGGGGACACGGAAAGGGGUUGAUUUGUCCACAUUUUAUUGUUUUCCUUUUAUUUCCAUCCCAUGGAUUACCUAGAGGGAAAUUACAUACAUCAAAAUCCAGUGGAAAGAAUUGUGAAAAUUGGGUUGGGCGCCGUGGCUCACACCUGUAAUCCUAGCGCUUUGGGAGGCCGCGGUGGGUGGAUCACCUGAGGUCAGG